rnacentral:siRNA from 1 species
AAUUCGAUGUACGUGCUUGAGCUG